rnacentral:lncRNA from 1 species
UUUUUUUUGUUGUGUUAGUGUUAUUGAAACGUAUAAAAAAUGUCAAAAUGCAAUGAUUACUAUAUCUGUUUUUAUUAUAGGUUAUGAUAUGGUUCGUAUACUUGUAUCUUUAGUUGCUUGCUAAACGGUAUACAAUUCUUUCUUAUUACGUAUCCAAGUCUCUGCCUUAUAAAAAAAAAAUGCUUUUCUGUUUUGUUUAUAUUUACUAAGUUAUGCAAUAAUUAUUUAAAA